UGGCGGUUGGCGACACAGGUCCUGGAGCCAGACAUUCAGUCUCAGCCUCAGCCACUUCCUAGCCGGGUGACCUGGGGCAAAGUGACUUCACACCUCUGUGCCUCAGUGUCCCCGUCUGCACAAUGGAAUACUCGUAGUAAUGACCUCAGAGGGUUAUUGGGAGGCUUACGCCAAGGCAAGCAGUUCGACACCGACACCCUCAUCUCUGCAGCCUGCUACAGAAGCCUCACUUUCCCUCUAAUUCAAGAGAAGGGCAGAUGGUCUGUCUCCAUCAAACCACAGGACCUGAGCUGGAGGAGCUGCUACCUGGGGUAUCAGCAGCCUCAUAACGAGGAGAAAGCAAGAUGUUGGAGUGAUACUCAAAGAUUCUGCUCAAAAGUCUGACACAUCAUUUCCAUUCACGUUGCAUUGACCAAAAGAAGUUAUAUGUCCAAAUCUGAUGUCAAGAGUGCAGGAAAUAUAAUUCGAGUACACGGACAGGCCUGAUAGACAAGGGUAGCAAAUAUUUUGGCCAUGCAGAAUCUACCAGAAUCCAUGAAGCAAAAACAGGAGGCAGUCAAAGAAGAAAAGAAGAGGGUUUAUAAAUGAUCAAUAUGGUAACAUAAACAUUAAAUAAAUGGUUAGAACGAUGAAGUUGACAGCAAGUAGACAAAAAGAGAAAUGAAUGCAAAAUAGAAACAAUUAGAAUGCUCUAAGAGGCCAAGUAUGCGAAUAAAAGGAGUGCCAGAACGAAAAGAACAGAGACAAGAGAAUAAGAAACUGUUAAUGAAAUAGUUCAAUUGCAUUUCUCCGAAUAGAAAAAUAUAAAUUUCUGAAUUGAGAGGGCAUUUCAGGUAUCCAGCACAAUAGAUGCAAAAAGACCAAUAACAAGGCGUAUCUUUGUGA